GACGAACGCUGGCGGCGUGCUUAACACAUGCAAGUCGAACGGAAAGGCCCUGCUUUUGUGGGGUGCUCGAGUGGCGAACGGGUGAGUAACACGUGAGUAACCUGCCCUGGACUUUGGGAUAACUUCAGGAAACUGGGGCUAAUACCGGAUAGGAGCUCCUGCUGCAUGGGGGGGGUUGGAAAGUUUCGGCGGUGGGGGAUGGACUCGCGGCUUAUCAGCUUGUUGGUGGGGUAGUGGCUUACCAAGGCUUUGACGGGUAGCCGGCCUGAGAGGGUGACCGGCCACAUUGGGACUGAGAUACGGCCCAGACUCCUACGGGAGGCAGCAGUGGGGAAUAUUGCACAAUGGGCGGAAGCCUGAUGAAGCAACGCCGCGUGCGGGAUGACGGCCUUCGGGUUGUAAACCGCUUUCGCCUGUGACGAAGCGUGAGUGACGGUAAUGGGUAAAGAAGCACCGGCUAACUACGUG
rnacentral:rRNA from 1 species